rnacentral:pre_miRNA from 1 species
CUGACAGAAGAGAGUGAGCACACGCAGGCAAUUGUAUGGAAGCCAUACCACUGCAGGUGCGUGCUCACCUCUCUUUCUGUCAG